rnacentral:rRNA from 1 species
GACGAACGCUGGCGGCGUGCUUAACACAUGCAAGUCGAACGCUGAAGCUCAGCUUUUGUUGGGUGGAGGAGUGGCGAACGGGUGAGUAACACGUGAGUAACCUGCCCCCUUCUUUGGGAUAACGCACGGAAACGGGUGCUAAUACUGGAUAUUCACUGGUCUUCGCGUGGGGGCUGGUGGUAAGGGUGUUUCUGGUGGGGGAUGGGCUCGCGGCCUAUCAGCAUGUUGGUGGGGUGAUGGCGUACCAAGGCUUUGACGGGUAGCCGGCCUGAGAGGGUGACCGGUCACAGAGGGACUGAAGUACGGCCCAGACUGGGACGGGGGGCAGAAGCGGGGAGGAUGGAGCAAUGGGGGAAAGCGUGAUGCAGCGGCGCCGCUGAAGGGGUGGGGGCCUUCGGGUUGUGAACGUCUUUCGGUCAUGAUGAAGCCGCAACAAUGGUUGUGGUGAGGGUAGUGGGUAAAGAAGCGCCGGCUAACUACGUG